CUGAAAACCAAGACUGACGCUCAGUGACUAGUGGAUGGGUAGGUGGUGUGGCCAGCAUGGGUGUGCUGGACAGAGAUGACUGACACCCAGUGGUGUAGAGUAAGUCUGUAAGAUUGCGUCACAGAAUGCACCUAGAAACUUCCAAACCGUCUGAUUCUAGAACUCUCCAUUUUACACCACAGUUGAUGGCAGAGAAGACGGGAACAGAUAGCAAAGAUGAUCAUGAAGGAAGGAGGAAGGAGCUAGAAGAAGGCCCAGCAGUUAAGGCCCUUCCUGCUCUGCACGUGACAGCCGUGUAGAAGAUGGAAGAGGACAGAUGGCACUAUUCCAC